UACGGGGGGUGCGAGCGUUGUCCGGAAUUAUUGGGCGUAAAGAGCUCGUAGGCGGUUUGUCGCGUCUGCUGUGAAAACCCGAGGCUCAACCUCGGGCCUGCAGUGGGUACGGGCAGACUAGAGUGCGGUAGGGGAGAUUGGAAUUCCUGGUGUAGCGGUGGAAUGCGCAGAUAUCAGGAGGAACACCAAUGGCGAAGGCAGAUCUCUGGGCCGUAACUGACGCUGAGGAGCGAAAGCAUGGGGAGCGAACAGG
rnacentral:rRNA from 1 species